CAACCAACUCCUGCCACUGGUGGUGGUGACUUCAACCAUCACUUUUCUGUCAUGCAUCUGACUGCAAGCUGUACAAACUCUGCCGUCAUCAUAUCCAAGGCAGUGAGUUGUGAGGACUGCUACACUGGGAACACUGAGUGCAUUCUGGAAUAUUCCAAAUGUGUGCCACUUCCAUACACAAGAAGUUCCAAUCCUGCAGAGUUCACUCACCAGUGGGCUCCAUCAACAGACCAGGGCAAAGUCGGUCUGUCCUGCUACUACUACAUGCUACUUGACUAUGUCUGGAAGCCAUGGCUGCUGCCCUCAACAUGCUAUAAGUGUUUGUGUUUUGAAUGAGGGCUAUGGGAAACUGAAACCCUCACAAAUAAAGUCACAAAUCAAGAAUUAACAUUGAUGGUGAUGGUGGCAAGGGUGCCUUCAUAAGGUGCCAUCCAGCAAGUCCCAGUCUGGAGCCAGAGGCUGGCACUGCACGUCAGAUGGGGGAGGAUCUAUGUUAGGCAUCAGAAAGGUGGUUUAAGCAAGAAGGCAAGAGCUUCUGCAGACAGUGUUGCAAUUAGACAUCUGAUUUUUACUGCCAAAGGGACCAUCAGAGCACCUCUACCUACCCUGCCGGACAUCUAUACCAGAAGAGUACGGACAAGGGCCCAAAAUGUUUUAAAGGACAUUUCACGCCCAGACCAUGGACUGUUUAAACCACUGAGGUCAAGCAGAAGUCUCUGUUCUCACUUGAGGCAGGUUAUUGAGAGGGGGCGAGUGUCACUGUAUAAGCCCCCUACUGCAGGCGAGAAAGCCAUGUUGAUUUGAAUAUUGAUUGAUAAAUACAAUAAA